ACCCCCCCCCCCCCCCCGCGAUGUGUCACUAAGCAUAACCAUGAUGAUCAACACGUGUGUCAUUCCCCAGCCCCUGUGCAAAGUACCGUGAGAAUAACCUAGAUGCACCAUGAAAAUUUUUACACAGAAAAACAUCUGUUCCAUUUCCAGGCAGGGGAGGCCCUGAUGUUACCCAACAGCGUGCUGGUAUUGACAAAGUACAGUGCAGACUGAAUGUGAUGCACAAGGCCCAAUUGUAUGGGGCAACAGCAAUACACUGUACUACAGUUAGAGGGCGCAGCGGUUAAACACGCAUAUACACAUGCUUUAUAUUGGAGCCUACUAAGUAUUUUUAAGCAUUUAGCUGCGUAUAACAGGGAGUAAAUUAGAACAAAUAUGACAGAUGAUAUAUUAUGUCAUGUCAUAGUGAUUUUGGGUGGGGCCCUUUUUUUUUAAUUGCACUGUUUAUCAGAGGCACUGAAACGUAAACUCUGCAAACGGGUUCUGCAUUGAACUGGCAGUUGCUGUGAUUCUCCUGCGACUGUGUGGAUUUCACAACAUUCACAUUUAUCAACAGCUUUAUAAACAUUACGGAUGACAGUGCUUAAAAGGUAAAAGUUAAUUUUAGGAAGAGCUCAACAAAGGAGAGGGAGAGCGAGGCUGAGCUGCAUCCACCCCCCCGCAAACACACCCCUAUGCUCUGGGUAUUUGGAUGGACAGUAGAGCCAAGGAGAACAGAGAGGAUUACAGGAAAGGGCAGGAGGAAUGGCAGCCUGCCCUAAUGUUCCUCAGGUCCUGGAUACACAGGCGGUGUAUGGGGGUGCUGGGACAUCACCCUUCCCACCGGGAAUAAGUCAGGGAGGGGGCCACGGCGCAGAGACUGCAAGCAAAACACCGUCCAUUUCCACUGGGGGGUAACUUUCCCUAACAAUUCCCUAUUAUUAUAAUUGCUAAACUGUGAAAUUGAAUCUUUGGCGCGACCUCGCCACUUAAUCCGAUUUCGCGGAAGUCUGCGGCGUGACCCACUCAGCGAGUGACGAGCGCUUAAGCACGCUGCCCUGACGUGGGCUCCACUAGGGCCCCGAGUCACAGGCGGCACGCCGUGAUAAUUCACCCCCCGUUUAGGUGAUUAAGGCGCAUGGCUUCGGUCGAGGCGGCACUCAGCGUGGACAGGAGCCAGCAGAAUCUCGUUACGGCACUGGGCAGAGGGUGGUGCGUUAAAUUAUGCUGACGCAGCCAUUGUGAAACUGCCACUGGUUACGUUAUAGUUUAGGGGAACACGGUCGAAAUAUUGCUCCAACAUCGAUUUCUGUAAUUCCCAAUAACACAGCGAUAAGUGCAAAGCUGAACUGGGACGACAAAGAAAGAUUGGGGAGGGCUCUAUCACGUCUCCGAAUGGGGCUGCAACCAGCUUCGGGACUAAAUCUGGAUCGCAGGACACAAGCAGCACAAAGACAUGUGCAAACGUGCACGAUCAUAAGGAAUGCUGGGUAAAAAUACCUGUUUGUACAGCCAGCCACGUUUGAGAACUGGGGCGUUGGGGUUCCUCUUAAUGGAGUUUGACCUCUUUCCAAAGUUGUGGACUUUUUUUGAGGAUCUUGAAGGCUGAAGAAGAAAAAAAAAAAAAAAAAACACAUGGAAGAGAUUCAUUUUCCUGACACGCACCUUUAAAAGGAGGACAUGACAGCACAUCUCCCCGUUUACGCGAGUCGCAAAUCCCAAGAGGCUCCGGGCUCUAUCUGCGACUAAGAGGCCAGAUGCUGUGAUCUCACUGCACAGCUGAUGACCAACCCCACUGGGACUGGCCUCGAUGGCACCCGGCCUGUCCGGAGACCCUCAGACUGCUGAGCAGCGCUCCGAGGUGCCUACCCACCUCCCCACCUCCCCAUAUUUGUUCCCAUUUCUGACCCUGACCCCUGUAUGUGAUACCCUCCCUGAUUGGACCUGCCUGAUGCCUGUACCCAGCGUACGCUCCAAAGACGUGAUAUACGACGCCCCGACACGCCUCAUGAGCUAACUGACCCCUUUUCAUCAGGCAGGUCAAAAGGGUCAUAGAAAAGGAGAACAGGCACCGACUGCAAUACCCCGAGAAGCCAGAAAGAGGCGCUCAUGCUUCAGAAUGCCUUUCAAGUUACACACCUGAAUUAGCCACAUCGAUCCAUAUAGAAGCUUUGACUGAUACACUUUGUUUAUUAGGAAAAGCAAUUUCUGCAUGUCAGGAGAACAGGCAUCCCACCCAGGGAACCCCCCCAAUCGUCAGGAGAACAGGCAUCCCACCCAGGGAACNCCCCCAAUCGUCAGGAGAACAGGCAUCCCACCCAGGGAACCCCCCCAAUCGUCAGGAGAACAGGCAUCCCAUCCAGGGAACCCCCCCGAUCUUCCACCCUAUGCUGCCUGGGCCCCCAAGCUGGGAGGGGGCCCUGAGGGUGGCCGAUCACAUGACACAUCACAACAACAAGUCAGCUUUAUUUGUUUAAUAUUCUGUAUGUCACAAAAGUGAAAAUAAAGGACUUGUGUUUAUUAAA